rnacentral:pre_miRNA from 1 species
CCCACACCCAUGUGUGUAGGAUCCCAAAGGAUCACCAUUAAAUUUGGCACAGAUAUCUAGAAAAGUUAUCACAUGGGUGUGGGACUUGACUUUUCUAGAGAUCUGUGCUAAAUUUAAUGGUGAUCCUUUGGGGGGUCCUAAACAUAUGGGUGUGGG